rnacentral:misc_RNA from 1 species
AAGUCGUAACAAGGUUUCCGUAGGUGAACCUGCGGAAGGAUCAUUACCGAGUAUCGGGUCCUCGUGGCCCGCACUCCAACCCUCUGUGUACCAACUUUGUUGCUUUGGCGGGCCCGCGGUGUAAUGCCGCAGCCGGCUCACGCCGGUUAGCGCCCGCCAGAGAACCGUUAAACUCUUGUUUAAACAGUGUCGUCUGAGCAAAAUCAUAACAGUUAAAACUUUCAACAACGGAUCUCUUGGUUCUG